CUUUCAUUUUGAGUUUCAAACUUUGAAAUUUCAGUACCCUCCUUCUUCUCCUGCGAAUUGCGAAGUGCGAAGACAGCGAAGCGCCAUUCUGCAAACCUGCUGCUUCCACCGUCUCCAGUGCAGCCGUCUCCCAUACUCGUUCACUGUCGCAGGCUCCCUCCCUCGCUCCCUGCCUCGACUCGAGUAUCGACUCCCUCCCUCCCACUCCCAGCAGCCAGCAGCCCAGCACGGUACUGUAAACCCUUAUUUUUUUUUUUUUCCUACACUACUUUUGAUUUAUGUCUAAUGUUGAGUUUAGUGGUUGAUUUAUUUAAGUUUGGUGGUUGAUUUAUGUUGAUUUAUUUGAGUUUAAUGGUUGAUUUAUGUUGAGUUCAAUGGUAAUUUUUGAUUUAUGUGGAGUAGUUUUUUGUUUAUGUAACUGGUAUAAAAAAGUCGAGGAUAAUUCUUCCUUAAUGUGCAUAGUUUGUUGUGACAUUGAUGAGAUGCACCCAUCUCCAUUCUCCGGUGGGGGCGACUUACGGAUAUACACUUGUUGCAUUAUCGUCGCAAAUCCAGAAUCUGAUUCUUCCAGGAGAAUCAUUGAAGAAUCUGGGUAUUUGAUGCAAAUCUACCUUUUCUGUUUUCUGGGAGAAGGUAUAUGAGAGAUAGAGAGAGAAUAGGAUCUGACAUGCAUUGUUGAAACUAAUCUAUUUUUUUGUGAGGUAUAUGUAAAAUAUGGAUAUUUGUUGAAUGAUUAUUAUUGGAAGUUUUAUAAGUAUCUACACUUAUUGCUUUUUUUUUUUUCUAAAAAAUAAAAUUUUAGCUAAAUAAUCACUUCAUUAUCUUUAGCUUAUUAAAAGAACGCUUAAACAAAUUCUUGUAUGAAACGGGCUUAGUGUGAGAAGCUUAAACAAAUUUUGAAUGUGUUUGUUGGAUAUUUUAAAGAGAAUUUUAAGUUGUAUAAUACUUUUUUGGGUGAUUCAUUGCGAAAUUAUAUGUAUUAUUAGCAUUAGUCCAUAAAUAUCGCUUUAUUGCAAUCUAAAUACAUUAAAAAAAAAAAGGACCUGUUUUUGGACCCGGAUCCGGUACUGGAUCCGCAGUACCUACGGAUCCGGAUCUGGGUCUUGUAAAAUUGGACCCGCAGAUCCGGGUCCGGAUAUGGAUCCUGCUCUUGAAAACGGAUCCGGAUCCGGGUCCACCUGGACCCCGCCCGGAUCCGACCCGUUGCCAUCCCUACUCAGACACUACAGAGCAACUAUAAGGAGUAAAAAACCACCCUGCUGGCUGACCUAUUCUAUAGUCUCUAUAAAUGGGAAUAUCUCUUCUCUAUAAAUGGUGUUGAUCCCUUGCUCCGAUUCCGUCGUCAUUCCUGACACUCCGGUAGCAUCGAGAAGACGACACAUUUGAGGCGAUAAGCGAUUACUCGCGCCGCCGGAGAUAACACGCAGACUAUUGCAUUAUACAACUAUGGCGCUUUUUCGGCUCUUCGCGCUCAUCUCUCAACUCUCACCUUCGCCUUCCUUGCCUUAUCUUGCCGUUUUCCUCCGUCGUUCCACUCAGGUUUUUAUUUCUGCGAAUUCUCGUUACCUUUUUGAAUGAUUGAAUGAUUUGAACGCUGUUGAAUUUUUAUUCUCUCAAUUUCAAUGUAAGUUGCUAUGUGUUCGUCAUUUUUACAUAAUUUUAAAUAAGUAAUGCUUGUCUUGGUUCGCAAUUUCUGGAAACUUAAUUUAGACUAGGAGUACUGAAAUCUGUUCAUUUUUGCUGUUGCUGCUGCAGUUUUAGAUUACAAUUUGUGUAAUUUGCUUUGCCUUUGAGGGUGAUAUUCGUUCCGCAUCAGUGCAUUGUAAUGAUUUUUGUCGUAUAAGUUUUAUACACUUCAAGAGAAAACACGCACUAAACCAAAUGAAGAUGUUACAAGAAUGAACAACCUAUUACAACAACUAGGAUAAAAACUUAUGAUAAACAAUCUACACUUAACCUUGUAAAACCGACACAAUCCUGAAGAUCAUUUAGACUAUUAAAGUCUUCAGAAACUCGAUACCAAACCGAGGUGCAUAUAUUUUGUGUUUUCUAGAUAGCGUUAUUUCGUCGACGGUGUUUGGGUUUAACUUCGAGAAUACGCUAUUGAGAUACAACUGCUGACACUAUGACAUAAGCACUAUAUACCAUAGUAAUGUGAAGGAACAUGAGGAUUAAUAAGAUGUAAAAACAAAAAUAUGAUCAUGGAGUUUGCAAGAUGCUAUAACCAUAUGCAUGUAGAGAGAAAAGUUUGGAGAAAACAAGGAGAGAAUGAACACAAAAUUAGAAAUUGAGAUUAUGAUCAACCACUUUAUCCUUAAUGCAACUUCCACUAUUUAUAAUAGUGUUGCAUGCUUUACUACCAUACAUUAAGACCUUAAAUGUUUAUUUGAUCAUAUUUCAUGAAAGAACACAUCCUUACAUAAGUAUAUCAACCAAACAUGAAUAUCGCAUUCUAGAGAAAAACGACAAGUCGCUGCACUCUGGCGACGAAUCAUCGCUUAUGCUGCCUACUUAAAUAGCUUUCAGAGAGAAGUGACGAGUCACUGCCCAUAGGCGACGAGUCGUGGCUUUCCUCUGUUCACUUUUUUUCCUUUACUUUGUUUUGUCUUUUCUUUGGACUUAAGUUGUAACACUUAUAUGUCUCACUAUUGUCAAAGUAAAUGGUAUAUAAAACACUUAUUAUACUCUAAAUAUCCAACAAUGUUGUUGUUAAUUUUUGAACGAUUUGAUCAUUUUAAUGAUGGUGAUUUGUUUUCAUUAUUUGUGUUUUAGUUAUUUUGAUUAUUGAUUACACUUGAUAUUUUGCUCUUGCUCUAUGACAUGAUUAUUGAGUUUUAGUCAUCAUAUGAUCUUAAUCUUACUAUUUUAGUUGUGAUUAUUGAAAGUUGGAACUCAAUAUUUAAAACUUCAGGGUUAAAUCUAUUUUAUUUGAAAAUAUGCGUGAUGACCUACUUUUUUUUGAAGAUUUUAAGAAAAUGUAAUCAAGUUAAUGAUUUCUCAUGUGUAAUGAUCUACUUUUACUUCAUCAAAUAUAAAUAUUAGCCCUUAAGUAAUUUAAACCCGUUCACUGUUAUUGAAACAAGUAAGUUUAUUGAUAUUUUUUUUUCAAGCAAGAUAUAUUUGAUCAUGUUAUUUGUUUUCUAUACUAUGCCUAAAUUAGUUAAAGUUGUCUACUAUCAUGGUAUCAGCUUCACUCGGUCCUGUUCGUUGUAGAAACUUUUCUUAUUCUUUCUUGGCCACGCUCUCCUUUAUGGGUAUGAGUUUUUGCCUUCCUUCCCUCUCCAGACCCUGAUCAUAGUUUCUUAUGGGCGAGAUACGCUGAAUAUGAUGAUGAUAAGUAUUUCCGUAUAUGAUGAUCAAAAGGCACAAUGCCAAGUCAUGUGAGACUAAGAAAUAUAAAGUAAGCAUGAAUAAUCAAAAUUCUCAUUCAUAUUAGAAUCUUAAUGCCUAAAUAAAGGUGACUUGUUGGAUUUAAAUGCAUUAAGUAUAUUGAUUAGGCAUGUUUACUUUAAAUUUCUAGAUCUCACAUCAACAUGAAAUGUGAGCUUCCCGGAAUAAUCAUCAACAUAAGAGAGUUAUGCGAUUUUUGUUUAACUAUGAUCAAAACAUAUCACACUAGUAUGUAGAGAGAUUAAAUAGGUCAACUUCCUGGGUCACAAGAAGCAUAUUUUCUGAUAAUUGAGCAUAUUCUCAAAGAUAAAGUGUCAUGGAUAGGCAAUUGUCUAAGCCCAAUAUGCAAGUCUAUUCUAGAAGGGUGAAGAAUUUGGUUACAGAGAAUUGAUAAAAUGCUGUAACAAAUUUGAUGCAGUGCAUUUACUUUUUAUAAGGAUUUACUAUGUCAACUGCUUCCUCAAUUUUUUUAAUUAAGUUCUGGUGACCUGUGAAACAAUGUGAAUUACCCUACAAUUAAGCUUAUAAUUAUUUGUAAUAUGAUUGUUCUUUGCAAAAUCUCAAAGGACUUGUUCAUAUGCUAUCAUGUGUAGUUUUUCAUUGGACAUUGAUGUUUACAGCAUGAUUCCAGCCAUUUCAAAUGAGCAUUGAAGAGCUGAAAAUGAGGGGAAUUUUCAAAUUUUUAACUCAAAAGGAUAUGGCAAAAGAGUAUUUGAAUAAGCCCUUUAACUUUAACUUGGUUAAGGUUUCUAUGUGGAGUACAUGGAAGUGAAUACGGAGACAAAUCCAGAACUCAGUGAUGAAAUAAGCAAGGAAUUUAGCAUAACUGCUGCAGCUGGCUUAUGGUACCUUCUUUAAGAAGAAUUGUCAAAUUGGUAGCCUACGGUUGAAAAUAUAUCAAUGUAUAUGUUCAUCGACUGACAUUGGCGUUGGCAUGAGUGAAGCACGACACACUAUAAAUUGGAAAGCCCAAUACUUUGGACCAUGGCCUAUAUGAACCGUUGUUUUCAUGCAACAAGAGCCUGAAAGGGUGCUUGAGAAGUAUCAAUGGCAACACAGUCACAUGUCUUACUGCAAAGGGGCAUUUCAGAUUGGUAAUGACAUAAGCCAUAUCCUGAAUCUGUUAAGAUUGUUGUUCAUUAUGGAACAUUAAAAGUAUCCUUUAACUUAUGAUGCUACAAGAUAUUCUCAAGUUUACAGUCAGCUUUAUCCUUUUGAAGGCCUCCAAAACUAUACUUCUGGAGUUGUUCACCACACUCGUCUCAUCAAUAAGUUAAUUAUUGCAGAAUUGGAAGAAAAUCUAUUUGCAAUUAAUGAGGGCCAAGGAUACUAAAAGCCUAAAAGGUAUAUCUCUUGGGCCUCUUGGCUGCUGUUGAACAGCUACUGGUGAUCAUAGUGGUGUAGAUCUGUACAAAAUCAUUAUGGAUUGAGGGCUGUUUAGUAUCGCCUAUGAACUGACCUGUGCUGCUGAUUGCUGAAGUCUGCUGCAGUCAAUAGAUGUGGGAUUGUACCUGAUGCAGCGGGUAGCUGCUGCUUGUAGCGGAUUUCUACUUAGUUUUUGUUAAUUAGUUAUUGUAGUUUCUAAUUAGUAUUUCUUAAUCUACACUAUGCAAACAACGAUUGCCAAGAUACAAAUAAAUCUAUAAAUCCUUGUUAAUCUACACUAAUUAGUUGUUACA